AUGCAACUUUAUAUGACAAAGUCAAAAACGGGUCCUAUUAGAUCUAAUAUAUACAAUAUACAAGAACAUAUCUCAAAAACACCAAAACCAAACAAAAUACACUUCCUACUUAUUUCGGAAUCAUGGCCCCAAAAUAGAACUAUCAGGUGGUCCUUCAAAAGAAAAAAGAACCAUCAGGUGUUUCCCGCGAUGCGCUCGGACAAAAAAUACAGUAAUUACAAUAACAACAUUGGCAUGAAUCAGAAAACAAAAUUAGAAAGAAAAUAA